UACGGAGGGGGCGAGCGUUGUUCGGAAUCACUGGGCGUAAAGCGUGCGUAGGCGGUUAUACAAGUCAGAAGUGAAAUCCCAGGGCUCAACCUUGGAAUUGCUUUUGAGACUGUAUGACUAGAGAUCUAGAGAGGUUGGGGGAAUUCCGAGUGUAGAGGUGAAAUUCGCAGAUAUUCGGAGGAACACCAGUGGCGUAGGCGCCCAACUGGCUAGAUACUGACGCUGAGGCACGAAAGCGUGGGGAGCAAACAGG
rnacentral:rRNA from 1 species